rnacentral:rRNA from 1 species
CACGUAGGGCGCAAGCGUUGUCCGGAAUUAUUGGGCGUAAAGAGCUCGUAGGCGGUCCGUCACGUCCGCUGUGAAAACCCAGGGCUCAACCCUGGGCUUGCAGUGGAUACGGGCAGACUAGAGGUAGGUAGGGGAGACUGGAAUUCCUGGUGUAGCGGUGAAAUGCGCAGAUAUCAGGAGGAACACCGAUGGCGAAGGCAGGUCUCUGGGCCACUACUGACGCUGAGACACGAAAGCGUGGGUAGCAAACAGG